CAGCAGCAGCAGCACACUAGCUGCCAACUUUGGCGACGAGAAGCGUUCGGCUGACGCCUCUAUACGCCAAAGUUGGCGGCCAGUGGAUCCCGGUCAGAGCACACCUGCCCAGAACUGGCGUCCAGUAGUGUCUUUUCCGCCACUUUAGGCUGCCAUUUUGAAAUCAUGUGACAUCAAGACGCAAGCUGAUUGGCCAUAGCCUCGCCGCCGACGCCAAGUCAGGCGGCCAUCCGUAGCACACCUGGCUUCUUCUUGCGUUCAAACGCGGCGACAAGCGUAAAAAAUCAAACAUAUUAGAUAUCUGGCGUUAAGUUGCGGCAAGUGGCGUCAAGUCGUGUUCGCCGACGCCGUUCGUAGCAGACUAGGGAUUUUUCAGGCGUUCAGGACUCUUCCGGCAAAAAACGCCUGUGAACGCCGAAGUUGGCGGCUAGUGUGCUGCGGGCUGAAGUCCGUGAUAAGUAUAGGCGGAAUGGUUAAACUAACUACUGCAAGAUUAAAAGCAUAGACGUAUUAAAUGGUGAAACUUGUUACUUCAAGAUCGACUUUUGUUCACGUUUUUUGAUUCAAAAUCUGAACCCAUCUUUCGUUGGAUCGAAAUCAGAACUUAUCUUUUGUUAUCGUUUCAGAGUCUUCAAGAUGAGGCAAGGUUUGAACUAGCAAGGUCAACCAAUUAGAUUUCUGAUAACUUUGGAGAGGGACAUGUAGAUAUUACUAGGACUACCUCCCUAUCACUGGCAGUUCCAUGGGAUGACUUUUUUGAAUAGAAGCACCAAACUUCUAUGGAAUCUCCUCCCUCCGCCACAAAUGUACAAAUAAAAAUUGAUUCCGUUAUUGAUAAACAUGAAUUGAAAAAAGAAGCUCCGAAAGGCUAGAACAAUAGCCUGAGCAAGAGCAGAUGUCGGCUUGAAAAGACUGUUUAAUGAUCGGACGAUUCUAUGUGGAGCAACCGUGAUUAUGAAAGCAAAGCUAAUAAGCAAAAGCAUGUGUGUGAUGAGCCGAGUGUCUGCCACGACAUCUUUUUGGCGUUCAUUUUUGUUUCCAGUACCGCUCAGUUUAGCCCGUUUGUUGGACGAACGCUUCAAUGCUUUGAUAAUCAACGAAUUGAUAACUAGCAGAGAUGAAAUAGGUAUCACAGCAUUUACAAUAAAAUCACUCCAUCGAAUGACAUUGACCCAGUACGAAGAACCAAAUGCAUGCUGGGUGCAGAUACAACUCUUCAAGACAGGAUCACAGACGUAUGACUGCGUUAGUAUGAAAUGGAAAUUGAACAGGACGCAGAAUGUGCACAUGCAAAAGACAGUCCACUUCGCACGCCGGCUAGAGCAGAAGUCAAUAGCUUUUAAAGGCCACUGGACUGCAAUCAAUCUAUCCGUAGACAUUGACACGAUAAUCCAGCUCGAACACGCUGUGGCCGCAUUGUUGACGAAGCUCAACCAACAAUUCUUCCCUUUCGCGCCAAUCCCGGUGAUCGCAGGCGCUAUGAAAGCGAUUGUAUCGACAACUGACAGCGCACACAUAUAUACGCCAGUGGACGACGAUCUAUUUGUUUUCUGAAUCAUCACCAGGAAGAGUAAGACAUUCCCAGGUCCGCAUCUAUGACCGGUAUCUCCCAGAUGCCGACAUCGUCGACUACAUCAAAAAGGUGGGCAUGAGGAGAGAGCAACAUGUGAAGGCCUUGGUCGCCCAUUACGACAUGGACGUCAACACGAAUAGAAAGUAAUAACACGCCGAGAUGAUCCUCUAUCAUCUUGCGAUAAAAAAGUUCAAAAUCCUUUUUUACGAGAUUUGUUCGAAAACGGUUUUUACUAUAUCCCUUGCCUUUCCUAUUCCAGACACGGUAUUAUUAGACAAAAGCGAAUUCAAGAUCGACGGACGCAUCCACGGAACCCCGAGAUUCGUCUCCAGUCUUCAAGAUGAGGCAAGGUUUGAACUAGCAAGGCCAACCAAUUAGAUUUCUGAAAACUUUGGAGAGGGACAUGUAGAUAUUACUAGGACUACCUCCCUAUCACUGGCAGUUCCAUGGGAUGACUUUUUUGAAUAGAAGUGCCAAACUUCUAUGGAAUCUCCUCCCUCCGCCGCAAAUGUACAAAUAAAAAUUGACUCCGUUAUUGACAAACAUGAAUUGAAAACAGAACCUCCGAAAGGCUAGAACAAUAGCCUGAGCAAGAGCAGAUGUCGGCUUGAAAAGACUGUUUAAUGAUCGGACGAUUCUAUGUGGAGCAACCGUGAUUAUGAAAGCAAAGCUAAUAAGCAAAAGCAUGUGUGUGAUGAGCCGAGUGUCUGCCACGACAUCUUUUUGGCGUUUCUCCUUUUCAUUUUUGUUUCCAGUACCGCUCAGUUCAGC